GAGGUGUGUUUAUCCUGUUGGAUCUGGUAUCAGGGGAGAGAGAUGUGUUUAUCCUGUUGGAUCUGGUAUCAGGGGAGAGAGGUGUGUUUAUCCUGUUGGAUCUGGUAUCAG